GGGGCAUGAGUUCUUAGCAUGAAAAAAUAGAGGAGUGUUCUCUUCUCUUGGGGUGUGCGCAAAAACCAGAUUUCUAGGAUUUUAUUUCUCAGGGUUUGGGAAGAGAGAAAAAAUAAGAGAAAAAUUCUCCAUCUUUCUUCUAUCUCUUCAUCUCCUUCAAAAAUUCAUCUUUAAUCUCUGAAAAGAUUUUAAAGAUUUAAAGAAAAGAUUCAGAUCAGCUA
rnacentral:lncRNA from 1 species